rnacentral:rRNA from 1 species
UACGUAGGCAGCAAGCGUUGUUCGGAAUUACUGGGCGUAAAGAGUGUGUAGGCGGUGUUCUAAGUCUGUUGUGAAAUCUCCCGGCUUAACUGGGAGGGUGCGGCGGAAACUGGAAUGCCAGAGGAUGGGAGAGGUAAGCGGAAUUCCUGGUGUAGCGGUGAAAUGCGUAGAGAUCCGGAGGAACACCAGUGGCGCAGGCGGCUCUCUGGGUCGGCCCUGACGCUGAGGCGCGAAAGCGUGGGGAGCGAACGGG